rnacentral:rRNA from 1 species
ACACUCCUGCGGGAGGCAGCAGUGGGGAAUAUUGCACAAUGGGCGCAAGCCUGAUGCAGCCAUGCCGCGUGUAUGAAGAAGGCCUUCGGGUUGUAAAGUACUUUCAGCGGGGAGGAAGGCGAUAAGGUUAAUAACCUUGUUGAUUGACGUUACCCGCAGAAGAAGCACCGGCUAACUCCGUGCCAGCAGCCGCGGUAAUACGGAGGGUGCAAGCGUUAAUCGGAAUUACUGGGCGUAAAGCGCACGCAGGCGGUCUGUCAAGUCGGAUGUGAAAUCCCCGGGCUCAACCUGGGAACUGCAUUCGAAACUGGCAGGCUAGAGUCUUGUAGAGGGGGGUAGAAUUCCAGGUGUAGCGGUGAAAUGCGUAGAGAUCUGGAGGAAUACCGGUGGCGAAGGCGGCCCCCUGGACAAAGACUGACGCUCAGGUGCGAAAGCGUGGGGAGCAAACAGGAUUAGAAACCCCUGUAUCCCAUG